AUCAACCAAUCAAUUGUACGACACCCUGGUGCAGACUCUGGCCUCCUUGUACACCUUGCCGGGGCGGCAGACAUAGCCCUGCUCCGGCGCGCAGUGCUCGUCCCGCGAGCACACGCACAUCCCCUCGAGCGCGCACCCGGGCGCGUCCGUCGUGGGCGACCUCCCGCCGAUGCCGAGCAUCAUGUUGCUCCAGUCGCUGGAGAAGAGGCCAUCGGGGUCGUAGGCGUCCUUGACGCGCAGGAAGCGCGGCAGGCCGGAGUACUUGCGCGCGGCACCGACGAAGGCGAGGUUGCGGUUCUUGCCCCAGUGCGGCAGGCCGCCGUACUUGAAGAUGCCCAUCUGCUCGACCUCCUCCAGCACGUCCUCGAACAGGCGCGGCCGCCCGGAGUCACGGCUGCGGUAGUAGGUGAUGUCGAAGUCCACCAUGUCCCCGGACGGUUCCCCGCGCGGCGCGGGCUUGCCCAGAUGCGCCGUGGACGCCUUCACGUAGCGUAUGAGGAUGCCGUCGUAGAGCUCCACGCCGCACAGCGCCCUGGGCUCCAGGUCCCGAAGCCGGCGCACCUCGGCGACGAACAGCACGGCGCGGCGCACGGGGAGGCUGAAGGUGGUCUGGUGGAAGAGGGUGCCGCCCCGCACGCGCGGGUCCCGGGGCACGCCGUCAGCAGCGCAUCCUCGGGCCCCGCCACGCACCCGCCCGACGCCUGCAUCCGGUGCUGCGGCCCCACCACGGGGUACCCCGCGAACAGCCCGCCGCUCCGCCACUGCAGCCCGUACCCGGCCGCCGACAGCGUCGCGUGCGUCACCCGCGACGUCAGGCACUUGCCGCUGCCGUUGUCGGCGCGCUCGAAGAGGUCCUCGGCGAGGCGGGUUGCCUGGAUCGCGAGCGUGGGGGUGGCGCGGAAGCCGAUGAAGUCCAUGGCGCCGUCGUCGGGCGCGCUCAGCGGCAGGCGGUCGUCGAUGCGGUACACCGCCCGCCCAUGCCCUGGGAACCACGCGAUGUCGGCGAACUCGUGCCGGUACCCGAACGUGCCCACCUGCUCCGCCAGGUCGUCGUCGUCCCGCUCGCUGAACGUCACCGAGCGCUUGAACAGAGGUUGUAGCGCCAGCGUCACCUUGCAUCGGGAGUAUAUGAAUGCAUAAUUAUUGGACGAUCAAGUGUUUAUUAUUUGAUAAAUUAAAAACAUGAUCUUGGAAUAUGGACUCAAAUAAAGUCAGGC
rnacentral:misc_RNA from 1 species